UACGAAGGGGGCUAGCGUUGUUCGGAAUUACUGGGCGUAAAGCGAGUGUAGGUGGUUGUCAUAGUCAGGCGUGAAAGUCCUGGGCUCAACCUGGGAACUGCGCUUGAUACGGCAGAGCUAGAGGAUGGAAGAGGCUCGCGGAAUUCCCAGUGUAGAGGUGAAAUUCGUAGAUAUUGGGAAGAACACCGGUGGCGAAGGCGGCGAGCUGGUCCAUUACUGACGCUGAGGCGCGACAGCGUGGGGAGCAACAGG
rnacentral:rRNA from 1 species